rnacentral:ribozyme from 1 species
UGCCCAGCAACUCCUAUCCCUACCUCCACGCGGUACCGGCCGGAAACUAUGAGCAACCUUAGGGAAGAUCGGGUAACCAAGCCCGGUGGGAACUUUGGUCGUAGGCUGACAGGGAAGG